UUCAUUUCCCUCCUAAUCUUCACCCCAUUUCCCCAACUCUUGCUGCCAAGGUCUUGCAACCCCUCUGACCAAUCCCCACCUCUUGCCGCCGUCACCACCACUUCCACACCUCUGCUGCCGUCACCGUCACCACUUACCCACUAACAUCCAAAAUUGGAUAAUACUAGGAAGUGUGACACAUUAUUUGGUGACUCAUGCACCUUGUCCAGUUACCAUUGUCAAAGAGAAGCCUUGAUCUACUUAGGUAUGUGUUAUGCCAAUUAUAUCAUUUAAGUUUAUAAUUGUUGGUCCCAAGCCCGGAUAAAGGAGAAGCGUUUUGUUACUAAAUUUGUUGAAAAUGAUAAUUUUGCAAAAGGGCCACCACUUUGUAGUUCGAUUAGGGCCUCCGAAAACGUAGGAACGGCACUGAUGAAGCUACACGUUUAUGUAGCUCAUAUGAGGUAUAUAUUUAAUUUACUAGCUACAUAUGAGGUAUAUAUAGCUCAUAUGAGGUAUAUAUUUAAUUUACUAGCUACAUAUGAGCAAACUACACAUAUGUUUUAAUCGGGUUAUUCGGGUUACCCAAAUACGUACCAAUCUCAUUCCAAUCUCAUUCCUUUAUGAACUUUGGUUCAAAUAACUUUGGGUACGACCUUUCAAAAAAAAAAAAAAAAAAAUAAAUAAAUAACUUCGGGUACGGGUUAGGUGACAUAUGAGCUCACCUUUUGAUUGAAAAUUUAAUGUGACAUAUGAGCUCACCUUGAAUCCGAUCUUGGACGUUGUAAUGUAUAAGGGUGGAGGGUAUAGUCAAACACCUUUGGGUGUUUGAGUGAAAUCCUAGCCAAUAAUAUUAUGCCAUGUCAACUCCCCAUUCUACUCCACAUUUUACACUCAAUCAGAGGGUAUAGUCAAAUAGGGCCGCUCAAACCGCUCGGCGCUCGUCGCUCGCUCGACGCUCGUUCGAAAAUUGCUCGGAAAAUGCUCGUUCGAUUUGACGCUCGGUUGUAAAUGAGCCGCUCUGCUCGGUUCGGUUU